rnacentral:misc_RNA from 1 species
GUAUUUUACUUCAUGCCCCGAGGCAAGUUUCAAAUAGACAUCCGGUAGACUCAGUGUUUGUGUUUGUUAAAAAGUCGGGGCCAUCCGGCUACGGCCGCUGGGCGACCGCCACCUUCUUGCCUCGACAGGUGCACAGGUGUUGGGACAUGGUGAGAUAAGGUCGGGGCCCACAGAGUGGGAGAUCCCCAGUUGAAUUCACUAAUGAUCCUUCUGCAGGUUCACCUACAGAAA